GGAGAAGAGGAGGAGAGAGAGAAAGAGAGAGAGAGAGAGAGCCGGGAUGCUUGUUAGAAGGCCUAUUGUGAGGAUUUUUCACAAGGAAAGGAAGUUCCUUCGUCCACCGAUUCGACUCGUUGGAAAGGUUUGCACUGCUGAUCGAGAAGUUUUCGCUUCUAAAGGUGGAUAAGAAGGAGACGAGGAUAUUGCCGAGUGUCGAAGCGGGGGGGGAGGGAGGGAGAGAGGGAGAGGGGAGUAAUCGGGAGUGAAAAGAAAACGCCGGCAGAUUAGCAUUUCAGGUUUUGAGAACCGGAACGAAUUGUGUUUCGAGUGCUGCCGUACGCGUACACGGCUACUUAGGUCCACUUCUGCCGCUCUUAACCCUCGACAACCCUCGCUUUAGCGUCCCUUUGCGCGUCGUUACGAUCUCUCUUUCCGACGUUUA